rnacentral:rRNA from 1 species
UUGCUCUGGAUUAGCGGCGGACGGGUGAGUAAUGCCUAGGAAUCUGCCUGGUAGUGGGGGACAACGUUUCGAAAGGAACGCUAAUACCGCAUACGUCCUACGGGAGAAAGCAGGGGACCUUCGGGCCUUGCGCUAUCAGAUGAGCCUAGGUCGGAUUAGCUAGUUGGUGAGGUAAUGGCUCACCAAGGCGACGAUCCGUAACUGGUCUGAGAGGAUGAUCAGUCACACUGGAACUGAGACACGGUCCAGACUCCUACGGGAGGCAGCAGUGGGGAAUAUUGGACAAUGGGCGAAAGCCUGAUCCAGCCAUGCCGCGUGUGUGAAGAAGGUCUUCGGAUUGUAAAGCACUUUAAGUUGGGAGGAAGGGCAGUAAAUUAAUACUUUGCUGUUUUGACGUUACCGACAGAAUAAGCACCGGCUAACUCUGUGCCAGCAGCCGCGGUAAUACAGAGGGUGCAAGCGUUAAUCGGAAUUACUGGGCGUAAAGCGCGCGUAGGUGGUUUGUUAAGUUGGAUGUGAAAUCCCCGGGCUCAACCUGGGAACUGCAUCCAAAACUGGCAAGCUAGAGUAUGGUAGAGGGUGGUGGAAUUUCCUGUGUAGCGGUGAAAUGCGUAGAUAUA